UAAUACGUAGGUGGCAAGCGUUAUCCGGAAUUAUUGGGCGUAAAGCGCGCGCAGGCGGUUUCUUAAGUCUGAUGUGAAAGCCCACGGCUCAACCGUGGAGGGUCAUUGGAAACUGGGGAACUUGAGUGCAGAAGAGAAAAGCGGAAUUCCACGUGUAGCGGUGAAAUGCAUAGAGAUGUGGAGGAACACCAGUGGCGAAGGCGGCUUUUUGGUCUGUAACUGACGCUGAGGCGCGAAAGCGUGGGGAGCAAACAGGAUUAGAUACCCUGGUAGUCCACGCCGUAAACGAUGAGUGCUAAGUGUUAGAGGGUUUCCGCCCUUUAGUGCUGCAGCUAACGCAUUAAGCACUCCGCCUGGGGAGUACGGUCGCAAGACU
rnacentral:rRNA from 1 species